GAACAAUUUUGUGCAGUUCUCUGAAGAUUUGGAACGGGAAAUUUGGCUCAUGUCCUUAACAGAUUUCAGGUCGAAAUAAGGAGAGAACUAUUCCACUUGUGCUUGGUAGCUUAAUAGAAAAAAAAAUUAAUGACUUUCAUCUUAUUUCAGCUCUGAUGCCUACCUGAGACAUGAUUUGAAAUGAGUUUCCCAUUCUUGACUCCCCUUGUUGAAGACCUGGAGAUUUAUCAAUAUCUUGCAACAACAAAGAACAUCACUCAGUGCAAUCUGACUCAGGCACUGCUUUCUUCUCCAAAGAACCAUCACAAGUCUUCGUAACGUGUAUAGAUUUAAGCAGGAUUUACACUUCAUAAACCCAAAAACUUGCAGGAAUGUUGAAAAGCACUAUGUGGAAUAACACGUGUAAAUCAUAAGUGAUGCAUGAACUGACUCUUAUGGCCCCAGCUGGAACAUUUUCUGCUGUUGUCCCUGGGGAUGGUGCUAUCCUCUUACCCUCAGUGUGGACAAUCACCAAGUGCAUUGAGUCCACCUCCUCCUGUAGAUGACAGAAAGCAG
rnacentral:lncRNA from 1 species